GAGAGAAAGAGAGAAGUUACUUGAACGUGGUCUUGGUCGAUUAAAAAUUAGUCCGUUCACGGACUUUGAUAAACUCGGAUCGUAUGUCACAGUCUGUGAAACGAUAUCUGCACAUAGUGGAAUACGUAAGGUCUAUAAAUAGGAGGAACGUGGGAUUCGGAUCUGAAGAUUUGGAGAGACGUGUCGAGCGCCCUCUCGUCGCGUUCGUGCGCUGCGCGAGAGACAGGAGAUGCAAAGGCUUCACGCCUAAGAGGGCCUGUCGUCGAUCUAUAAGGACGGUAUUUGACCACGAUGCCACGUAAGCCACGACCGCGACCCCUGUCCUCGAGGAUUUGCCGCGAAAACCCUUCUCGGUUUCGGAGGUGAUCAGUCACCUCAGAUCCACGGGGCAAACAAACUUAAGCUUGACCGUGGGGGCCGAAGGUGACGAGGAUCGCAAACGAUGUGUCGAAGCUUUGACGAAUUCGAUCCGGAAACAGGAUAUCGUUUCGGUUCGUUAGCAAGAGGGGAAACGAAAAGAAACGGGCGAAAAGCUGCGAGCUCCCUCCUCCCUCGAAAAGCAACGCUUCGUCCUUUUUCCAUUUCCGUGAACCGAGUCUGUGAUUUCGAUGUAGAAUGUCGUCGAUCAAACGAGACCGCGCUUACCGACCACUUCCGCUCGUCGUAUUCCAGUAUCCCGUUUUGGACACGCGCUAUAAGCGACAAAUAAGUUUCAGAGAUCACAGGUUAGGAUUCAUGUAAGAAGAACGAAGUUUUUACGGGCUGGUUUUCACUCGAGUACAAAUCAAGAUCGGGACUCUUAAAUCUCCGAAGAAUGGGAACGAGAAUUUCUUUCGGACCGCCUCAAAGUGUAGAGGCAAGCAUGGUACAAGGUGGCGCCACCUUGGCGGCAGUGGCCAACUUGACAACCGUGUAAAAAGCGACGAAAUCGAGAGUGUUGGUGGGUCUGGCGAAGAGGCACGAUCAAAGAGGAAAGAGGGAACAGCCUAUAAAACAAUUGACGCUCCCGCGGUAUCAAGGAGUAUCCGUUAAACCUGUUUUCUACUUCUUCUACUAACCCAUCGAAAUCCACUUUGAUCAAGUUGCCUUCGGAAUUGAAUGAAAUUACGUUACAAUAAAUGUAUUGUUAUACGUGCCUAAUAUGUGAAUGGAUAUGGAAGUAUAUGAUUAUAGUUAUAUGCGACUAAUAUAAGUAUAUGAAUACAUUUAACAUUAUCUGACAAUUAUAAACUAUAUUAUUGAGUUCAGCAAAUUAGAAUAGCCUUUCUAUGAUAUAAACGGUAAUUUGAGAAAAUUUAACAACUUUUUUUUUUUCAGAUUUUAAUUUCAAAACACGACUACUUUUGAAACAUGGUAUCCUCUCAACGACAAUUCAAAGUGUACACCUUUCCUCGACUCCGCCGGAGAAAGAAAGAUCCCGUAAUCCAUCGAUCGAUCGAUUUCUCUCCAAGUAAAAAGAGGGAAAGAGGAGAAAAAGAAGAAGGACGAAGGUGAGAGAGCGCGCCACGAGCCCGGUUGUUCAGUUUUCAGAGCCGCGAUAUCAAAGCGGGCAUCUCGAACGGCGCCAAGACCAUAGUUAACGAGGUCCUCGUCUGAGCCAUUCACCACCGGGGCACCCUUGUCGUCGUUGUCGAUUCGGUACGUACCUGUACGGUUACCUGGGGGCCCGUUCAUUGCAUCCUGACCCGGCCGCAGGCGACAUACGCUGCAAACCACCGGGUCCAGACGAAACCGCCCACUCGACGACCACCGUGCUACGCUCUCUUCCUUCCUUCCUUCUCGUUCGACCAGACGUGUAACACGGCUUCGAGGAAAGAAAGAAAGAAAGAAAGAAAGAAAAGGAGAGAAAUGAACAGGCUACGCGUCGUGUCGCGUCAAUGUUCACGAGCACCUCACGAAGGACUGUGCUAUGGUUCGACCUUUCCUCGACCACCAAAAAAAAAAAAAGAAUAUUAACCUUGAUCUUCUCAAGAAUUGGUUUCUCAUUUAUCUUGAAGGAAUUGAUGUUAUGUUACACAGAAGUGCUGAUCUAAUCUGAAUGAAAUGAAAUGUAUCCAAGAAUAUUUAAGAAACUUAAAGUCAAUAAUAUUCAAUUUCUCUCUCAAGUUGAGAAAAAAAAAAGAAGGAAUAAGAUAAUUUCAGAUUUUCUAUCGAAUAUUUGCAUCGUUUGAAUCGAUAAAUGGCACGGUACACGGGUCCCAUUUGUUCUAUAUUUGUUCAAUGAGUUUGGAAAUCUCCAUUCAGCUCGGUUCGAGCUCGAGAACGGUUGAAUGAUCGAUGUCGUGGGUGGUCAACAGGCGGAGGACAGUCGUGUGAAUGAGCCCAGUGUUCGAUGACUCGUUUAUGUAGGCUGUUAUCAGCUUACACGCGAAUAACCGAAUGACCCGACCGAUGCAAAAACCAUUUUAUUGUUUUCGACCGUUUAUGAAUUCGACCAGAACAGGACAAAACGAUCGAUCUGCUCGAUAAGGAAACGAUCGAAGGCGAAAAUUAAUUCUUCGAUACCUCGAGGAAUGGAAGGGAGGGUAUUGGUUAGGUUAUUGGAUAUUGAUUUUUUUUUCAAGGAUGGAAAUGGAUAAUUAUAUAGUAUUGAAAUAUAUCUAAUUUGUUAUAAUUAAUAAUAUUUCGUUGCCAUUAGAGAAAUUUGAUAAAAUUUGAAUCUAUUAAUACGAAUGUUUAUUACUUAUGUAGAUACAUUGGUAUCCAUCAUAAUUGGAUGUAUUUUUAUUAUUAGUUUUUGAUCAAGUUAUCUAUUCUUUUACAUACGUAUGUUCAUAGAACGGUAUUGUAUAACGUUUCUUAAUUUAUUCCGUGUAAAUAUGCGAA